rnacentral:rRNA from 1 species
CCCGCACAAGCGGCGGAGCAUGCGGAUUAAUUCGAUGCAACGCGAAGAACCUUACCAAGGCUUGACAUACACCGGUAACGCCCAGAGAUGGGUGCCCCUUUGUGGUCGGUGUACAGGUGGUGCAUGGUUGUCGUCAGCUCGUGUCGUGAGAUGUUGGGUUAAGUCCCGCAACGAGCGCAACCCUCGUCCUAUGUUGCCAGCGGGUCAUGCCGGGGACUCAUGGGAGACUGCCGGGGUCAACUCGGAGGAAGGUGGGGAUGACGUCAAAUCAUCAUGCCCCUUAUGUCUUGGGCUUCACGCAUGCUACAAUGGCCGGUACAAAGGGCUGCGAUACCGCGAGGUGGAGCGAAUCCCAGAAAGCCGGUCUCAGUUCGGAUUGGGGUCUGCAACUCGACCCCAUGAAGUCGGAGUCGCUAGUAAUCGUGGAUCAGCAUGUCACGGUGAAUACGUUCCCGGGUCUU